UGACCAAGGGGCCGGGCUGUUCUGAUUGUUGCAGGAUCGGAGUGGCCUAGGGGUACAGGGAGUACCUCCAGCAAUGGGCCGGGUCAGGCAAGGC
ncrna:Pseudomonas putida W619 ivy-DE RNA